CAUAGCGACUAUCGUGGCAUAUCAAUAAGCGGAGGAAAAGAAACUAACAAGGAUUCCCCUAGUAACGGCGAGUGAAGCGGGAAGAGCUCAAAUUUGAAAUCUUCAAGGGUUUCCCUUGACGAAUUGUAGUUUAAAGAAGUGUUUUCUGUUAGAGAGGUGGUAAAAGUUCUUUGGAAUAGGACAUCAUAGAGGGUGAGAAUCCCGUAUUUGACUAUUCUUUCUAGCUUUGUGAUACACUUUCAAAGAGUCGGAUUGUUUGGGAAUGCAGUCCAAAAUGGGUGGUAAAUUUCAUCUAAAGCUAAAUAUUGGCGAGAGACCGAUAGCGAACAAGUACCGUGAGGGAAGGAUGAAAAGAACUUUGAAAAGAGAGUUAAACAGUACGUGAAAUUGUCAAAAGGGAAGCGUUUGACACCAGUGUUGUUUUCUCGAAAAUCAAUUAAAAAUGUGGGAUGUUGUGUUGUAUUGACUUUAUCAGCUUUCUGCACUUUUUUCCUAUCUUUUUUAAUGCACUUUUCGUUUAACAAGUCAACAUCAAUUUCUUUUGUUGUAAAAGAGUCAUUGGAAGGUGGCUUUCUUUUCGGAGAAAGUGUUUAUAGCCUUUGGCUUCUGCAAUCGGAGAGAUUGAGGUCUGCAGCGUAGAUCCUUCGGGGUUAGAUGCAUUUGCGCUAAGCUAUAGCCUUUCAUAGACAACUUGUUGACUAUGAUCAGUCAUGUAGCUUACUCGCUUAUGCUAUUUUACCUACGCUUAGGAUGUUGAAGAUAUGCGCGACACG
rnacentral:rRNA from 1 species